GACGCUUGAAACAUUGUGGUGGCGUCAUUGCUUCUAUAGCCUCUAAAAGAAGACUUUGAAUAACCAAAGUGCUAGAAUAGUUACAUUUCAAUGGCUUCACUCUGUUAGUAAGAAUUGUACAUCGAAAAAAUUUGCUCAGUUGAAAACACAUAUCAAACAAAAUUGACAAAAUUGAUAGUUCAACCAUAUCAAAUUACCCUCUACCCCCUGAUUGACAUGUAAGAUAGGAUAUAUGAUACAAUACCCUAAAUUGCUUCACUUGUCAAAAGAAAUGAAGUCCUUUACAUGGUUGUCAUGUCCACAGCAUAAACAUCAUCACACUAAGUCUGAGCCUUCACACCAGAAUAACACCACACUUGAACUACAUGGGCCUCUAGUCUAACCAAUACAAAGAGAAGAUCUAAUGCAAAGUAAUCGCCAAUGAGCUAUCAAAACAAUGCUAGUUAGACACUGCAUAUAGAUUCUCAAGCCUAAAAAGAUCACACAAUUUCAGAGUUCAACACAAUUUAUUUUAUGCUUAAAUAAUCGUUUUGACCAUCCAGUGUUUUUGUCAUACAUAUGCUAUCAAGAGUUACAAUCAAAUAAUGCCUUGUGUGUCUUUAUGUGAGUAGAUUAAACUUAAGGAAAUACUUCCCAAAAACCCCAAAACCCCAUCUUUAAAACCACAGCAGCCUUUAUAAAACCAAUUGACACACUGCUAAAAUGAUUACAAACAGUCUUACAGUCUUACAGCGACCUCUACACCUUAUAGCCAAUACACACAAUACAUUUAUAAUUUUACAGCGAGACAGUCUUCUAGCAUAUACAUUCAGAUUACUCCUUUCUCAUAGCAUUUAUGAUAAACCCUGCAGAAGCCGCCCUUCAGUUGUACAUAGAGAAGCAGUAAUCCUCAAGAAGCUAUAGAACAAACUUUCUUCAUACUGUUCCUCGUCCGAGACAAAAAAAAACACUUAUGUUUUUUUUUUUUCUUUUCUAAUUUCAAAUAUAAAACUGGUGACAAAUGUUAAGGCUAUAGUUGUACACAGAUAAAGGGUUUUAAUUCUAAUUUUUAAUACAGUGUUUUCAAACUUGUACAAAUUUUACUUAAAAUAAUGUGAAAGGCAUGCAUGAAAAUAUGAGUACUCUGAAAGACUGCUUUUGCAGAAUUAGAUACAUCCCCAUUUUGGGAAUCACUGAAAUUUGCAGAAGAUUUUCUGGAAAUUUCCUCUGUUAAAAUCAAACCAGCUUUUUUCAUAUACAAAUGUUAUACCUGCUAUAAUAAUUAAUUAUACAACAACAUGUGAAGUUCACUCAAAUCUUGAACCAUUUUGAUAAUCAUGUUGAAAGCACUUGUAAAGUUCUCUCCUCUGCAUUAUCAUCUUGUAACUCAUCAUUUUAGAAUUGUACAGAUUGUAAUUUCUAUACAGAAAAAAGUCUUGUUAUUUUCAGGUUUAUAAAGGAAAACAAAAACCCCAGCAAUUUACAACCUGACAUUUAUGGGUCCAAGAAAGAAAAUAUAAGGCGAGUGUUGGAGGUGGAUCAGAAGUGAUCCUCUUCUUUUUGUGUAAUUUUGUUGAGUUUCUUUCUCCUACUAUUAGAAUUUAGCUUUUGUGCCAUCUUUGGUCACAGGGCAGUGUAUGUUCAGUUGCACCUGUGGUUUUUCUGUAAUGGAGUCCUUUUUCGGUCUCACCACAAUGAUCCUCAAAAGCUCUCACGACACCAAUGUUUUUUUUUUCUCAUGACCACUUGUAGUUUUUCUGUAAUGGAGUCCUUUUUCAGUGUCACCACAAUGCUCCUCAAAAGCUCUCAUGACACCAAUGGCACGUUACGAGUCACAAACAGGAAGCAUAAUUCUUCUGGUCCAUAGACCACAGGAAGUGAGAGCUGUACAAUUAGAAUUCAGAUUCCAUGGUGAGAACCUCCCAGAUCCCUCAAUUGACAGAGAGUGUUUUUCAUGCUCAUGCUAAAAUCAGACGGGUCAAGUUCUUCACGCUUGAAAACCACACGUUGGAAGUAUUGGGCUGAAAUGUCCUAUUUUCCUUUAGUUUCUAGUUGUGUGUAACUUUCUGCCGUGGAGACUAAUUCCUGCACACCUGAAAAAUAAGAAAAAUAGGUUGAGUCCCUUAGCU
ensembl:lncRNA